UACGUAGGGGGCGAGCGUUGUCCGGAUUCAUUGGGCGUAAAGCGCGCGUAGGCGGCUCCGCAAGUCGGCCGUGAAAUCUCCAGGCUCAACUUGGAGGGGUCGGGCGAGACUGCGGAGCUCGAGGUGGGCAGAGGGCAGUGGAAUUCCGGGUGUAGUGGUGGAAUGCGUAGAGAUCCGGAGGAACACCAGUGGCGAAGGCGGGUCUCUGGGCCGAUACUGACGCUGAGGAGCGAAAGCGUGGGGAGCGAACAGG
rnacentral:rRNA from 1 species